CCUACGGGGGGCAGCAGUGGGGAAUAUUGGACAAUGGGGGCAACCCUGAUCCAGCCAUGCCGCGUGUGUGAAGAAGGCCCUCGGGUUGUAAAGCACUGUCAGUGAGGAAGAACGCCUGGUGGUUAAUACCCAUCAGGAAAGACAUCACUCACAGAAGAAGCACCGGCUAACUCCGUGCCAGCAGCCGCGGUAAUACGGAGGGUGCGAGCGUUAAUCGGAAUUACUGGGCGUAAAGCGCGCGUAGGUGGCUUGAUAAGCCGGUUGUGAAAGCCCCGGGCUCAACCUGGGAACGGCAUCCGGAACUGUCAAGCUAGAGUGCAGGAGAGGAAGGUAGAAUUCCCGGUGUAGCGGUGAAAUGCGUAGAGAUCGGGCGGAAUACCAGUGGCGAAGGCGGCCUUCUGGCCUGACACUGACACUGAGGUGCGAAAGCGUGGGUAGCAAACGGGAUUAGAUACCCUAGUAGUC
rnacentral:rRNA from 1 species